UACAACUGGAUGUACAGAUGUUUGUGAAAC
rnacentral:piRNA from 1 species